rnacentral:rRNA from 1 species
AUGGAGAGCCAGAUAGGGAGUGGCCCCGCGAGCGCAGAAGAAGAGCUGAAGGCUCGGGCAUGGGCGCGCAUAGGAGCGGGCAUGUGCCACGGGGUUAUCCGAGGAGCUCAGUGGCUACCCCUGCAAUGGCCAUGGCGGACGGCGGUUCUCGGCCACGGCGAAAUACCUAACGAGAGCAAACGAAAGGGGAAACUGGGGAAAGGCAAGAGGAGAUCACGACGGUGUCAAUGA